rnacentral:rRNA from 1 species
AAUCUUCCGCAAUGGACGAAAGUCUGACGGAGCAACGCCGCGUGAGUGAUGAAGGCUUUCGGGUCGUAAAACUCUGUUGUGAGGGAAGAACAAGUGCUAGUGGAAUAAGCUGGCACCUUUACGGUACCUAACCAGAGAGCCACGGCUAACUACGUGCAAGCAGCCGCGGUAAUACGUAGGUGGCAAGCGUUAUCCGGAAGUAUUGGGCGUAAAGCGCGCGCAGGUGGUUUCUUAAGUCUGAUGUGAAAGCCCACGGCUCAACCGUGGAGGGUCAUUGGAAACUGGGGGACUUGAGUGCAGAAGAGGAAAAUGGAAUUCCAUGUGUAGCGGUGAAAUGCGUAGAGAUAUGGAGGAACACCAGUGGCGAAGGCGACUUUCUGGUCUGUAACUGACACUGAGGCGCGAAAGCGUGGGGAGCAAACAG